rnacentral:rRNA from 1 species
UACAGAGGGUGCAAGCGUUAAUCGGAAUUACUGGGCGUAAAGCGUGUGUAGGUGGUUUCCUAAGUCAGGUGUGAAAUCCCAGGGCUCAACCCUGGAACUGCAUUUGAUACUGGGAGACUAGAGUGUGGAAGAGGAUAGUGGAAUUCCCGGUGUAGCGGUGAAAUGCGUAGAUAUCGGGAGGAACAUCAGUGGCGAAGGCGGCUAUCUGGUCUAACACUGACACUGAGACACGAAAAGCGUGGGGAGCAAACAGG